CCUACGGGAGGCAGCAGUAAGGAAUAUUGGGCAAUGGGCGAAAGCCUGACCCAGCAACGCCGCGUGAGGGACGAAGGCCUUCGGGUUGUAAACCUCUUUUCUGGGGGACGAGACCAGGACGGUACCUCAGGAAUAAGUCUCGGCUAACUACGUGCCAGCAGCCGCGGUAAGACGUAGGAGGCGAGCGUUAUCCGGAUUUACUGGGCGUAAGCGCACGCAGGCGGCUUCGUUAGUCGGAUGUGAAAGCUCCUGGCUUAACUGGGAGAGGCCAUUCGAUACUGCGGGGCUGGAGGUUGGAAGAGGGGUGUGGAAUUCCCGGGGUAGGGGUGGACUGCGUAGAUAUCGGGAGGACCACCGGUGGCGAGGGCGGCACCCGGGUCCACCCCUGACGCGGAGGUGCGAAAGCGUGGGAAGCAAACAGGAUUGGAUCCCCCGGUAUU
rnacentral:rRNA from 1 species